CGAGAAGCUUUGGAAUGAAACUUCGGUUGAAAUGAAAGAGUGGAAAGCGGCGGACGGGUGAGUAACGCGUAGGCAACCUGCCCCAUACACAGGGAUAGCCUCGGGAAACCGGGAUUAAAACCUGAUAAUACAGGAGGAUCACAUGGUUCUUUUGUCAAAGAUUUAUCGGUAUGGGAUGGGCCUGCGUCUGAUUAGCUAGUUGGUGGGGUAACGGCUCACCAAGGCGACGAUCAGUAGCCGACCUGAGAGGGUAAACGGCCACAUUGGAACUGAGACACGGUCCAAACUCC
rnacentral:rRNA from 1 species